ACUGCGCUGGUGUAGUGGUAGCACGCGUUCCCGGUAUGGAUGAAACACGGGUUUGAAUCCCGUGUGAGGUU